rnacentral:rRNA from 1 species
UACGUAGGGUGCAAGCGUUGUCCGGAAUUAUUGGGCGUAAAGAGCUCGUAGGCGGCCUGUCGCGUCGGCUGUGAAAACCUGGGGCUUAACCCCGGGCCUGCAGCCGAUACGGGCAGACUAGAGUACGGCAGGGGAGACUGGAAUUCCUGGUGUAGCGGUGAAAUGCGCAGAUAUCAGGAGGAACACCGGUGGCGAAGGCGGGUCUCUGGGCCGAAACUGACGCUGAGGAGCGAAAGCGUGGGGAGCAAACAGG